CACUGGAGAAGUUUAAGGAGUUAUUCCGGGAGGACUGAAGUUGGCGUGGCCUCUGCCGUGCACCCCAGGGCCAAGUCCUGGCAGUUUGACUUUUCCUGCCCCCUGCCCCGGGCCCCGUUCCUGAGGUCCCAGCUUACUGUUGGCCCGGCAUCACCCUCUGUGAGGGUGCCACCAGCCGCCAGCCCCUUCCGCAGACAGCAAAGCGGAACGGUCACACGCACACAAACGCAGAAGAAAAGAGCAUUCGGAGAGGGACGCGACAGCCCUGGGGGUGGACCCCUCUGAUGUCCCUGCAGAAACUCCACAGCCGAGGUCAGCUCUGUCCUGACUGCAAGCUGAGGCCGGUGAUGGGCGACAGCGGACGUACCAGGCUCAUUGUUUCUGGCCCCCACGGGACCCCUCUAAGGAUGACCCACGCUCCCGAUGAGUCCUCGGGGCUGAGAUGUCCUCAAGGCUGCCUGGCCCACCUGGUCCUCUCCUCCCUGGUCCUUCUUUCCUUCUCUUCCCGCAGGAGCCAGGCCUGCAUCACCGCCUGAAGGCCGUUCCCGCCUCCUGUCCCCUCCCCCUUUCACUUUCCACAGGUGUGAUGCCCAAUAAAUCUCUUGCAUGUCUGUGCUUCUGCUUCGCAGAGAACCCAAGAAUUGGGGUUAGGGACCAGAUCGCUCGCAGCCUGGUUGGCAAAGGGGAUCCCAUCCCACGAGGUACGUGGGCUGUGGAUAGCGCCUGGCACAAGACGGUGGCCCAGACUGAGGCGACAGUCUGAAUAGUUGACUCUUACUGUCUUGCGUUCAACACUGCAUUCGGCUUGAUAUGUUUGGCAGUCGUGUGAAUCCUGAGCCGGACCCUUGGAAUGCAGGAUGAUCCAGCUGACACAAUAAAGGAAGAAAAAAAAAAAUCAACCCAGCAAGAUCAAGAGGAAAAAGAAAGAGAUCUAAACACUUCUGACCAAAACGCGGCUUCGUCAGUGUCUUCAGUGAAUUAGAGAAAAUAUCACGCAUCCGUGCAACACGAAUAGGGCUCCGAGAGUAGAAGUCACAGCAAGGAAGGGCUGUGGGAUCAAAACUAGAGGAGGAACCUCAGGACAAGGCUUAGGAGUCAAAGAAAUCCCCUGGAAAAUAGUUGAGAAGACGGAGGAACAGACACUGUGAGGGAAGAGGCCCAGGGUCCGCGUAGGAGUCUCCUGUGUGACUAGGAGUGGCAGAAACUGCUGCUGGGGACAGCCCCUCCUGCACCGCGGGGACCCCGGCUGAGGCCAAGAAGUGAGAACGCGGCCAAUGGAGGGAAGCAGGAGAAGGGCAGAAAGAUACCCCUCAAUGAACUCGCAGGCUCUGAGCAGCGGCCGGGACGCUGGGAACCCGGGGGAAGGUUCCAAGUUCAGAGGGAAACAGUCUUCAGGCCAGAAUUCCUCUCCACUGCUGCUCAAGGACCAGAGAGUCACCAAGGCGCCCUCCUCCACCUAAGGCCUGCUUCCCCCCACCUCCCCACGAAGCCACUGGAGGACAAACCCCUGAGGAAGGAGAGGUCGAGAAGGAGGCAAGGAGGCAGGGCAGGUACUCAACCAGCAGGGUGGCCUCUGGGCCCAAGGUGGUGGCGGAAAGGCCCUGAGAGGAGGCCUCUGGAAAGGAGGUGAGGGCAGAGGAGGGAACAGGAGGGAUGUGGGGCGUCUCAGAGGCGUGGGGAACAGUAGUGGGGUGUGGUAAGGGCCCCGUGCACAGAGUGUCCUCUCAUGGGGAUUGUUGGCCUUCUAGAGGGAGAAGCGUGUAGUCAAAAGUAUUUACGUGGUGCACGGUGCACGUGUGUGUGUGUGUGUGUGUGUGUGUGUGUGUGUGUGUGUUUAACUUUCAGAUACUAUUUCGGGAUAAUUUACUCAACAUGAAAACGUGUAAAUGUUAUCAUUUUCUUUCAUCAUAUGCUGGGAGUGAUGGUGCCUCACAGAGAGUGGGGGUGGGGGGGGAAGACAGGUAGGUAGCACCACUCACAAAACGGGGUUCAGGAGUCACCCCCGGGGUCAAUGGCUGCGGGCAGCCCCUCAGUGUGUUGACCUGGGUCCUUCAAUUCUGAUGUUUCCCUGUGUUAUUUCUUUCCUCACUUCCCUUCUCCAUUUAAAGACUUCUAGGAUCGGGGCGCCUGAGUGGCUCAGUCGGUCAAGCGUCUGACUCCGGCUCAGGUCACGAUCUCAUGGUUCGUGAGUUUGAGCCCCGCGUCGGGCUCCGUGCUGAUAGGCAGAGCCUGCUUGGGACUCUCUCUCUCCCUCUUUGAGAUUUUAUGUAGACUCUCUGAAGGUUUAUUCUGCUCUCUUUUUUGUUUGCUUUAACUCAGAGUUCCCCUUUUUUCCUGUAUUGGUCGAUUUCUUUUGGUCUUUGACUUUUGUGUCAGGCACAUAUUUGGAGUUGGGGCCUCAGGGUGCCGACGGAAGGUUCUGUGAUGGGUGACCCGGAGGUCGGCUCGUUAGGGAGCCCCGCUGUCAGUCUCUGCAGAUGACAGUCCUGUGCCCCAAAUGACCUGGCCUCCCUGCUGGGCAAGGGGACAGAGUCCCCUUCCAAGGACAGCUCCCUCUUAUACUUUCCUGGGGCUGUUGUAACAAGUCAGCACAAACUUGGUGACUUAAAACAACAGAAACCUAUUUUUCUCACGGUUCUGGAGGCCAGAAGUUUGAGAUAAUGGUGUGCACAGGGCUGGGCUCCGGCCAGAGGCUCCGGUGGGGGGGUCCUUCCUUGCCUCUCGCCUCUUCCAGGGCUCCGGGUAUUCCUUGGUUCGUGGUUACACCAGUCCCUUCUCUGCCUCCAUUUCCUCCUCCUCUCCCCGUGUCUUCUGUCUUCGAUCCUUUGCGAGGGCGCUGUUCAUCGCCACCCACCAGGUCUCAUGUCAUAGUCCUUAACUUAGUCAUAUCUGCAAAGAUCUGUUUCCAAAUAGAGUCACAUUCCGAGGUUCUGGGGCUUAGGAGGUGGACAUAUCUUUUGGGGGGGUACCACCAUUCAACGCACUAUACUCUCCCAACUCCCUACACAUCUCCUUUUCCAACAGAAAUCCCUGUAGAGUGAGUUCUCUGCAGAGACUUGUGGGAAAAGGCGAGAGGAUUCAGGCCCCUCUGGGUCUGCAGGGAGCCAUCCUGCUCUGUGUCACUGAAUAGAAGGAUAAUAAAGUGUACGAAGGAGGGA